rnacentral:pre_miRNA from 1 species
UUGGUUUGUCCUAAGUCAAACUUGCUCAACUUUAACCAAGUUUAUAUAAAAUAUAAUAACAACUAUACAAUGAAACAUAUGUAACAUCAAAACAUAUUCUAUGGUGGGUUCAACCAAAUAAAUUUGGCAUUGUGAAUGUUGUUAUAUUUUUCUAUAAAUAUGGUUAAAGUUGCACAAGUUUGACUUAGGACAAAUCAAA